rnacentral:rRNA from 1 species
AGAGUUUGAUUAUGGCUCAGAUUGAACGCUGGCGGCAUGCCUUACACAUGCAAGUCGACCGGCAGCACGGGAGCAAUCCUGGUGGCGAGUGGCGAACGGGUGAGUAAUAUAUCGGAACGUGCCCAGUCGUGGGGGAUAACGCAGCGAAAGCUGUGCUAAUACCGCAUACGAUCUAUGGAUGAAAGCGGGGGAUCGCAAGACCUCGCGCGAUUGGAGCGGCCGAUAUCAGAUUAGCUAGUUGGUGAGGUAAAGGCUCACCAAGGCGACGAUCUGUAGCGGGUCUGAGGGGAUGAUCCGCCACACUGGAACUGAGACACGGUCCAGACUCCUACGGGAGGCAGCAGUGGGGAAUUUUGGACAAUGGGCGCAAGCCUGAUCCAGCCAUGCCGCGUGAGUGAAGAAGGCCUUCGGGUUGUAAAGCUCUUUCAGCCGGGAAGAAAACGCAUGGGUUAAUACCCUGUGUGGAUGACGGUACCGGAAUAAGAAGCACCGGCUAACUACGUGCCAGCAGCCGCGGUAAUUCA